GGUUAUGGCUCAGUGGUAGAGCACUCAUCUAGCAAAGUGUGAGGCCCUGGGUUCGAUCCUCAGCACCA
rnacentral:tRNA from 1 species